UACGAAGGGGGCUAGCGUUGUUCGGAAUUACUGGGCGUAAAGGGUGCGCAGAUGGUCUGAAAAGUUAGAGUGGGAAAUCGAAGCCCAACUUCGUGGAAACUAUUAAUACUGUCAGACUAGAGAGCAGGAGAGGUUAACGGAACUCCAUGUGGAGCGGUAAAAUGCGACGAUAUGUGGAAGAACAUCAAUAACGGCGAAGGCAGUUAACUAUUCUGUUUCUGACAUUGAGGCACGAAAGCGUGGGGAGCAAAACGG
rnacentral:rRNA from 1 species